rnacentral:rRNA from 1 species
UUGGGAAUCUUGGACAAUGGGGGAAACCCUGAUCCAGCCAUGCCGCGUGAGUGAUGAAGGCCUUAGGGUUGUAAAACUCUUUCGGCGGGGACGAUAAUGACGGUACCCGCAGAAGAAGCUCCGGCUAACUUCGUGCCAGCAGCCGCGGUAAUACGAAGGGGGCUAGCGUUGUUCGGAAUUACUGGGCGUAAAGCGUGCGCAGGCGGUCUUCCAAGUCAGUGGUGAAAGCCCGGAGCUCAACUCCGGAACUGCCAUUGAAACUGUGAGACUCGAGUACGAGAGAGGUGAGUGGAAUUCCCAGUGUAGAGGUGAAAUUCGUAGAUAUUGGGAAGAACACCGGUGGCGAAGGCGGCUCACUGGCUCGUAACUGACGCUCAGGCACGACAGCGUGGGGAUCAAACAG